rnacentral:rRNA from 1 species
AGCGUGCGCAGGCGGUUUUUGUAAGACUGUCGUGAAAUCCCCCGGGCUCAACCUGGGAAUGGCGAUGGUGACUGCAAGGCUAGAGUUUGGCAGAGGGGGGUAGAAUUCCACGUGUAGCAGUGAAAUGCGUAGAUAUGUGGAGGAACACCGAUGGCGAAGGCAGCCCCCUGGGUCAAAACUGACGCUCAUGCACGAAAGCGUGGGGAGCAAACAGGAUUAGAUACCCGGGU